AUUGAACGCUGGCGGAAUGCUUUACACAUGCAAGUCGAACGGCAGCACGGACUUCGGUCUGGUGGCGAGUGGCGAACGGGUGAGUAAUGUAUCGGAGCGUGCCCAGUCGUGGGGGACAACGUAGUGAAAAUUACGCUAAUACCGCAUACGAUCUAUGGAUGAAAGCGGGGGACCGUAAGGCCUCGCGCGAUUGGAGCGGCCGAUAUCAGAUUAGGUAGUUGGUGGGGUAAAGGCUCACCAAGCCGACGAUCUGUAGCUGGUCUGAGAGGACGACCAGCCACACUGGAACUGAGACAAGGUCCAGACUCCUACGGGAGGCAGCAGUGGGGAAUUUUGGACAAUGGGCGCAAGCCUGAUCCAGCCAUUCCGCGUGCAGGAUGAAGGCCCUCGGGUUGUAAACUGCUUUUGUACGGAACGAAAAGGCUCUGGUUAAUACCCGGGGCUCAUGACGGUACCGUAAGAAUAAGCACCGGCUAACUACGUGCCAGCCGCCGCCGUAA
rnacentral:rRNA from 1 species